GGGUCAUAAAAGCAUAAUAUCCUCUGGUCUUACAGAAAAAGAAGAAAGUCGUUGUCAGCCUCUCAGACGCAGAUUUAUUCCCUGUUUGUGUGGCACUGACGCUCUGAGACCAUGCAGCUGACUCUUCCCAUCCUGGCUCUUUGCCUUCUUGGCACAGUAUCCCUGGGUGAAGCACAAACAACUAUUACUACUAAACCACCUGACACAACCACAACCACAACCUCAGCAACUACUACUACUAAACCACCUGACACAACCACAACCACAAC